AUUGAACGCUGGCGGCAGGCCUAACACAUGCAAGUCGAACGGAGCGGCGGUCGGGUGAGUAAUGCCUAGGUAUCUGACCGGGCGUGGGGGAGAGCGUUAGGUAACGGGCGCUGAUACUGCAUCCUAUCAGAUGAGCCUAGGGCGGAUUAGCGAGUUGGUGGGGUAAAGGCCUACCAAGGCGACGAUCCCUAGCUGGUCUGAGAGGAUGAUCAGUCACACUGGAACUGAGACACGGCCCAGACUCCUACGGGAGGCAGCAGUGGGGAAUAUUGGACAAUGGGCGAAAGCCUGAUGCAGCCAUGCCGCGUGUAUGAAGAAGGUCUUCGGAUUGUAAAGCACUUUAAGUUGGGAGGCGUUACCAACAGAAUAAGCACCGGCUAACUCCGUGCCAGCAGCCGCGGUAAUAC
rnacentral:rRNA from 1 species